GCGGCUAUAGCUCAGUGGUAGAGCACUGGAUUGUGGUUCCGGGUGUCGUGGGUUCGAUCCCCAUUAGCCGCCCCA
rnacentral:tRNA from 1 species